rnacentral:tRNA from 1 species
GGUGCGUUAGUUCAGCUGGUUAGAAUAUCUGCCUGUCACGCAGGGGGUCACGGGUUCGAGUCCCGUACGCACCG